AUUGAACGCUGGCGGCAGGCCUAACACAUGCAAGUCGAACGAGUGGCGGACGGGUGAGUAAUGUCUGGGAAACUGCCUGGUAUUGGGGGAUAACGUCCGGAAACGGUAGCUAAUACCGCAUACCAUCGGAUGUGCCCCGAUGGGAUUAGCUAGUAGGUGGGGUAACGGCUCACCUAGGCGACGAUCCCUAGCUGGUCUGAGAGGAUGACCAGCCACACUGGAACUGAGACACGGUCCAGACUCCUACGGGAGGCAGCAGUGGGGAAGAUUGCACAAUGGGCGCAAGCCUGAGGCAGCCAUGCCGCGUGUAUGAAGAAGGCCUUCGGGUUGUAAAGUACUUUCAGCGGGGAGGCGUUACCCGCAGAAGAAGCACCGGCUAACUCCGUGCCAGCAGCCGCGGUAAUUC
rnacentral:rRNA from 1 species